GCCAGGUGUGGUGGUGUGCACCUGUAGUCCUAGCUACCCGGGAGGCUGAGGUGGGAGGAUUGCUUGAGCCCAGGAGUUUGAGGUUAUGGUGAGCUAUGAUUGUGGCACCGUACUCCAGCCUAGGCAACAGAGUGAGAUCCUGUUUCAU
ensembl:misc_RNA Metazoa_SRP Metazoan signal recognition particle RNA